GACGAACGCUGGCGGCGUGCCUAAUGCAUGCAAGUAGAACGCACAGUUUAUACCGUAGCUUGCUACACCAUAGACUGUGAGUUGCGAACGGGUGAGUAACGCGUAGGUAACCUGCCUGGUAGCGGGGGAUAACUAUUGGAAACGAUAGCUAAUACCGCAUAAUAUUCAUUAUUGCAUGAUAAUUAAUUGAAAGGUGCAAUUGCACCACUACCAGAUGGACCUGCGUUGUAUUAGCUAGUAGGUGAGGUAACGGCUCACCUAGGCGACGAUACAUAGCCGACCUGAGAGGGGGAUCGGCCACACUGGGACGGAGACACGGCCCAGACUCCUACGGGAGGCGGCAGGAGGGAAUCUUCGGCAAGGGACGAAAGUCUGACCGAGCAACGCCGCGAGAGUGAAGAAGGUUGUCGGAUCGUAAAGCUCUGUUGUAAGAGAAGAACGGGUGUGAGAGUGGAAAGUUCACACUGUGACGGUAUCUGACCAGAAAGGUACGGCUAACUACGUG
rnacentral:rRNA from 1 species